rnacentral:lncRNA from 1 species
UAAGACAAGCAACCCUAGAGAAAGAAGCGGCUGUCACAAAGGCCAGACCCAAAUGCCAUGUUAAGAGAUGGAUGAAGACUAGGAACUGUAGAGAAGGGUAGAACCAGUGUUAACUUCAGCUGAUGUACAUGCUUCUGCCAAAUAAAACUGCACAGCAGUAAAACAGGCAGAGAAGAAAGAAUCAACAGCAAAGGUAGAACUGGAACCAUGGAAAUCUCCAGGAGAGAGAUGAGGAAACUGAGGUGAAGGAGAAUAUGUAAUUUGCUCAUGGUCCACAGCCUACAUUCUUCAGUAUGUGCAGGGAAGACCUGGUGGGAUCUUCACUAUGGGGCCAAAGCAGAUACUUCUGCCUCUGAAUGUUUUCAGAAGAGUAACUUCUGCUCCUCUCUCUCCCAACCUUGUGGAGGAGUGACCUGAUGGCUAAAUUGAGAAUAGAACUGCAAUUCAUGGUUCUCUCUCUGUGGCUACAGGGCAAGGAGCCAUGGAAACUGAAGGAAACUUGGACUGGACAUCAGAGACCAUAGGAGCUGACCUGUAGAGCCCCUUGACUUUACCGGUUAGGUUCAAAAGCUAACCACCAAAUACUAGGGCUAGUGCUUCUUUCAGUGUGCUACCCUCCUCUCUUCUUUCUUCAUCAGUCCUGAGGCAAGCAGGCCCACGCUGCUAAUCCCAAGUUGACCCAGGAGUACACUAAGGCUUGGACAGUUUAGUUGAUCUACCCAAGAACACAGGAACACUCCUGACUUCCAGCCCAGUGUGGUUUCCAUUAGACAUUCUUGCCAUGGCAUGAAAACCACAAUGAGGUCAGGCAGAUAGCUCUGCAACCUGGAACUCUGAGUGAAAUCGGUUAUGACUGCAGCUGACAUACACGGCCCCAUACAGCCCAGCAAGGAAGGGGGCAAAGGUCACACCAAGUCAGGACAGAGGCUGUGCCUCUGCUGUGUUCAGGAAACCUUGAGACAAAUUUCUUCUCCAAUAACAACUCCCUGAUGUAAACUAACCAAAAGAAAGCAAACCCAAGUUUCUGCAUAUUUUAAUUGUUUUGUAUGAUUUUUGCUGGUCUUAGAGUGCUUGUGAGUCAGAAGCAAUUUCAGGAAAUGCUGCCCAUGUCACCAGCUGGAAUCCAGGCUCCUGUUCUGCAAGAGCUUUCAGAUGCAGGCACAUGUUUGAGCAUGCGUGCACACACACACACACACACACACACACACA